GACGAACGCUGGCGGCGUGCUUAACACAUGCAAGUCGAACGGAAAGGCCCUGCUUUUGUGGGGUGCUCGAGUGGCGAACGGGUGAGUAACACGUGAGUAACCUGCCCUUGACUUUGGGAUAACUUCAGGAAACUGGGGCUAAUACCGGAUAGGAGCUCCUGCUGCAUGGUGGGGGUUGGAAAGUUUCGGCGGUUGGGGAUGGACUCGCGGCUUAUCAGCUUGUUGGUGGGGUAGUGGCUUACCAAGGCUUUGACGGGUAGCCGGCCUGAGAGGGUGACCGGCCACAUUGGGACUGAGAUACGGCCCAGACUCCUACGGGAGGCAGCAGUGGGGAAUAUUGCACAAUGGGCGGAAGCCUGAUGCAGCAACGCCGCGUGAGGGAUGACGGCCUUCGGGUUGUAAACGGCUUGCGCCUGUGACGAAGCGUGAGUGACGGUAAUGGGUAAAGAAGCACCGGCUAACUACGUG
rnacentral:rRNA from 1 species